rnacentral:rRNA from 1 species
CGGGACGGGUGAGUAAUGUCUAGGGAAACUGCCUGAUGGGAGGGGGUAACUACUGGAAACGGUAGCUAAUACCGCAUAACGUCGCAAGACCAAAGAGGGGGACCUUCGGGCCUCUUGCCAUCGGAUGUGCCCAGAUGGGAUUAGCUAGUAGGUGGGGUAACGGCUCACCUAGGCGACGAUCCCUAGCUGGUCUGAGAGGAUGACCAGCCACACUGGAACUGAGACACGGUCCAG